rnacentral:rRNA from 1 species
AGUGAACGCUGGCGGUAGGCCUAACGCAUGCUAGUCGAACGGCAGCACAGUAAGAGCUUGCUCUUACGGGUGGCGAGUGGCGGACGGGUGAGGAAUACAUCGGAAUCUACUUUUUCGUGGGGGAUAACGUAGGGAAACUUACGCUAAUACCGCAUACGACCUACGGGUGAAAGCAGGGGAUCUUCGGACCUUGCGCGAUUGAAUGAGCCGAUGUCGGAUUAGCUAGUUGGCGGGGUAAAGGCCCACCAAGGCGACGAUCCGUAGCUGGUCUGAGAGGAUGAUCAGCCACACUGGAUCUGAGACACGGUCCAGACUCCUACGAGAGGCAGCAGUGGGGAAUAUUGGACAAUAGGCGCAAGCCUGAUCCAACCAUACCGCGUGGGUGAAGAAGGCCUUCGGGUUGUAAAGCCCUUUUGUUGGGAGAGAAAAGCAGCAGGUUAAUACCCCGCUGUUCUGACGGUACCCAAAGAAUAAGCACCGGCUAACUUCGUG